CAGCAGCCGCACCUUGGCGAAAGACGCCCUCACCGUAGCGGUAGAAGUUAGGGCGGAAAAGAAGUGACGGGACCCUUUCCGUGUUCUCUUAGAGAGAGCUCGCGCCCUCCCUCUCUCUCUGCCAAGUGGGGAGAAGCUCGCCACUGCCGCCGCACACACACGCACACACAAACUCCUCUUUUUCAGGCUCGCAAGUACUUUAGCAGCCCGAGAGAAACGCAGCGUGGAGCUUUAGAGAAGCAGCAACAGCAGCAGCAGCAGCCGUCCGCUCCGAAAGAACGCGAACGGUUUUAACGGGCGGGUCGCAGACUGCGUGUGUGUGCGUGGCACGGUGCAGAGAAGAGCGGCAGCUGCACUGAGAGUGUGUGUGUGUGUGUGUGUGUGUGUGCACCGUUGUUGUUUCUGGCUCUCCGUACCCUGCUGUUGUGGUUGGACUUGGACCCCACCCGCACACGGCAUGGCCACCGUAGACACCGUCAGGGGGCGGUACUCGUCCUACAAGCUGCUCAACGAAGUUGGCCGCGGUGGCAGCGCGCUCGUGUACCGCGCGCAGGACGUGGCCACACGCAAAGAUGUUGCCGUGAAGCAGCUCUUUGGCAACCGGCCGCAGGACAUGGAAGACUGGCUGCGCGAGGUGGACGCCCUACACACGCUCAACAACCAUCAUUGCCCGCAUGUCGUGAAGUACCUGGACCACAUGCAGCAGCACGAUCGACUCUUCCUCGUGGAGGAGUUCACCGAGCACGGAUCGCUGCUGCGCCGUCUGAAGGAAAACAGCAAGCUUCCGGAGGACAUCGCUUGCCGGUAUAUCUACCAGGUGCUGACGGCCCUGUAUCAUAUGGCCCCGUGGGGCGUCGUGCACGGCGACUUGAAGGCGUCAAACAUUCUUCUCUUCGACGGCGAUGUCGUGAAACUGACGGACUUUGCACUGCGCUCGCAUGGCGAGGACGAUCACGAGGAUGGCGAGCGGCGCACCACCGCGGCCUCCACGCCUUCUGCCGAAGCACUGCCCCUCAUGAGGGGCAGCCGCGCCGGGAGGGGCGCUGGUGAAGAGUGCUCUGGCUCUGCCCUCUCGGUGUUCCGCGGCUCCGCUUACUGGGCAGCGCCGGAAGUCCUCGCCGGUGCAUCGAAGGCAACGGCGGCGAGCGACAUCUGGUCGGUGGGCUGCCUCGCGGUGGAGUUGCUCACGGGUGCCCCGCCGUACUUCGAGCGCCCCAUCCACAACGCCAUUCAUCACAUCCUCAAGAGCUACUACGAGGUGCUCUGUGAAAGCGAGGCCAGCCGCGUCGGUGCUGCCGGCACCUCGCGCGCGUCCACCAACCCCGCAACCCCAAGCGCGGCAAUGGGCUCUGGCGACGAUGACGGGCCGCGUGGGCCCCGGAAGAAGAAAAACGGAGCGAAAGACGGGUGUGGUGCAGCGCCGCAAAAAACAGACGUGGCGUCCGCGCGGAGGGCGACGGUAACGACGAGCACCCACAAUCCGCCGAAGGAGCCGGUCGAUGCGGUCAAGACAGCCGCAUCUAGCGGCGCUGUGUGUGCAUCAGACCGGAAUGAAGUGGCCACGCCUCUGUGCGAGGCGGCGCUGCUCCCGCCGCUUCCCGAGGACGUGCACUUGAGCGAUGAAUGUCUGUCGUUUCUACGGAUGUGCUUCCGCCCCCGCGCGGUAGACCGGCCGUCGGCCGGAGAGCUGCUCCACGAUCCGUGGUUUCUGGACUGCACCGUGCCGCAGCUUCUGCGGGCAGCGCGCGAGGGUCGGCCUAUGAACGGGACGACAGGCGACGAGAGCGUCAGCGCCGGCACCAGCAGCGGCAGCCGCUUUGGGGUGAUUGAGCAGUGGGUGAAGCGCAACCUGACAUGUGAUAACGAGAGCCGGUGCGAGGCGUGGCUGAACAGCGACGCACUGCCGCUGCUGGUGCCGGUGCUGACGCCGCGUAUUAUGACACCCAAGUACAUUGGGAACGUGAUGUGGUGCUUUUCCCAGUUUGCCGAGAGCCGCUCAGCCUUGGCGACGCUCUUUGUGGACCGGUUGGGGUCGACAGAGCUCUGGGGGGUGGAGGAGCUGACGUCGGCGUGCGACGCGGACCACCUCGCCACCCUCUUUCGGCGGUGCUGUGCAACGCAGGACGCACAGGUGCCCGUGUACACCCCGGCAGACCCGCGUGCGCUGCGCUUUGUCCUGGGCCUGGAGAAGGAAAAGGUUCUGGCAUGUGUGCGUGCGCUGCACUCGCGUCUCGUGCUCGAGCCGACGGCCGCGGCGAUGGCUGCGGAUGCGAGCUCGCUGGCCACCGCCACAGACGACACCGCAGUGGAUCUGAACGACUGCCCCGCCUCCUCGCGUGACCCCGCGGCGCCCGCGCAUGCGGCGCCGGAUCGCGCACCGGCAUCCCUUCAAGAGCAGCAUGAACAACAGCAGCGUGCCCGUGAGCGACUACUCAGCGACGGCGGCGCGGCGGUGCUGUGCCAGUGCGUGGAGGCGCAGUGCAAGGCAGCUUUCCUGAGCAACACAGCGCCCAUGAUGGAGUGGAGCACGAUGAACCUGCUGUUUGACGUGCUCUGCACCAUCGAGCCGCUGGCGGGCGGGCAGGCGUUGCUGUGGGGGCUCGGCGCUGACCUCAGCGGUGGUCACACCUCCCCGAGCUCUACUGUGGGCACAGGUGGUGGUGGAGCGGCGAUUUUGAAAUCGCUGACGGUUGUCGUCAACCCGUGCGGAGGACGAGGCGGCGGUGAGUUGAACAGCACCUGGGAAAAGUCGUCGCCAGGGACAGGUCCCCCGCUUUUGGUGUCACCGAUCUCGGUGAGCCCGCAGGAGUCGAUUCCGACGACAGCGGCAGCGGCGGGCGGCGGUGGCGGCCCGCUGAGCUCCCUAGGCAGCACUAUGGGGUUCGGAUGCCACACCGUCAGCGGCCUUCCACCGGAGUCAGUGCAGUGGGCCACAUCUAUGACAUGGCUGCUCGCAGUGCAGGAAGCAGCGCGCCACCUGUGCGAGGCAGCGGUGCGCCUGCUCACCCGCUACAUCCCAGUCGCCAGAAGGUGCAGGGCCGAGUACCUCGAGAAGGCCGGUGUCAGUCUGACUGCAACGCUGGUCCUCGUGGCCUCGAGCGAGGUGGUCAGCACCGACGUACGAUGCGCGGCUGUCGAAGCCCUGCCGCAGCUGCAGGCGAGCUCGCUCCGUGCAACCCGGUACCUGCGCGACCCGGUGCGCUGCAUUGCCCUGCUGGCGCUCACCCUGAAGCGGUCCUACGGUGUCCCCGCGCUGACAUCGUGCCUGCUCACAGCCAUCACCGCUAUGACGUCUGAGAAGCAGAUGCUAGCGGCCUGCACCGGCUGCCCGUGGGUGUGGGAAUCACUGGUGUCCCUGCUAAGAGAAGUGGAGGCAGCUGACAAAGCCGCCGCCGCUGGUGGCAAGCGCAGCAGCUCGGCUCUCCACAGCGCCGCCAGCACCGACGGUGGCGCGGCCGAGGGGGCCGUCGCCCCACCUGCCUUAGUAGCAGCAGCGGCGAGUCCCACAUCAGUCAAAUCGCCUAGCGCCAGCAGCAGCAGCGGCGCUGUUGCUGCUGGUGGCGCUGCUGUUUUUGCCGACAUUGUUGUUCUUCUCUCGCGUUGGUUCGCGGAGGUGACACCGACGGCGCUGCUGAGCAGUGCCGUAACAGCAGCAGCAGCGGCAUCGGAAGCAAUACCUGCCCUCGGUCAUCCAGCAGCGUCCCUACCCCUCCCGGUGUUGCUGCAGACACUUCGCUGCCAGCUCAUAGCGCUGUCGCAGAACGGUCGUGUCUGCCACGGUGAUCUGAUGCCGGAUGUGGCGAAGGCGCUGCGGCAUUUGGCCCCUCUCGAAGCCGCCGCCGUCGCCGCGUCAACGUCGACGGCCACGGUGGCGUGAGAGCCAUCCGUGAGGGAAAAAAGACGGACAGCGCAUGAGUGUGCUGCACGCGCGCGCCUGCGCUGUGCAGAUGCGUGCCUCCUUUGCUCGUGUCUUACGCCGUUGUAUGUGUUGUUGUUUUCGGGGGGCUACGUCUCUCCUCGGCGCCGUUGUUGACAGCGUCCCGCACGUGCGCAUGUGGAGAAGGGUGGCGGGGUGAGAUGUGGAAGGGCCUCGCGCUUGUGUGGGUGCACUUCAGCCACGCUGUACCGGUGCCGCGCCCUCCACCAUCCCCACUAAGGGGCACACACACACCGUCAAGCAGGGAAGGUGCAGCGCAUCCCCCUCGUUAGUCAGCCAUG
rnacentral:misc_RNA from 1 species